UUGGUGGUUUUGGUCCCAUUAUCAAUAGAAUAUAUGAUUUUAUUACAUUCUUCUCUCAGGCCAUAGCGGUGUGCAGUAAGUGAACAAAAUUGGUUCCAGGAUCCAGAAAUUGACAAGGGAAUGAACUACUGAAUCCAAGCAAACUUUCAAAAACAAGAAUAAAGUAAAAAUUAGUGGGACAUUGGAGGGUUCAAGAUCCACCUGGACCAGUCAAUCACACUUUGAAGCAAAAUUCCAAUAAUGUGCUUGUGUCUACACAUGCCUGUAUCCAUGCAAGAAUUGCCAAUUGAAUGCCUGGUUUCCCUCCUUAUAUUGUAUGCACACAUACCACACAGACUCGGCCUCCUGACGCCAGGGAUUCUGCUACUGUCGAUGCAGCAGAGCUGCUCAGUGCUCUGUGCCAUGGAGCACAGAAGAGAAAUGAAAGUUACAGUCUUACCCUUCAGGCGUGAACACUUUAGGUGGGAAGACACAAGUCAGGGCAGUAGACCACAAUACUUUAAAAUAAAUCGCCAAACUGAAUAUAUUCUAGGAAUACAAAGAUGGACUCUAAGAUGUGGUGGUGAGAACCCUGAGGGACAGCUUCCUGGUCUAAACUGGAGAUAAUGCAGAAUACAAAUUUUCUAGAAUUCCUGCUAAUAUAGAAUUGGAAGGAACCUAAAUUAUCCUGAUAUCUGGCUGAGCAAGUAUCAUGUUUUCUGUUAUAAGUUUAAAAAUUGCAUAUAUCUCAACAAUGGUAGGAAAGGAAAUUUGGAUAGCAGAAGUAGAUGGGUAUUAUUGUCUUUGUCUCUUUCUCUAUUAUUAUUAUGGCUGUCUUCUUAAAAAUUUGUAUUUUAUAUUGGCAUAUAGUUGAUUAACAAUGUUGUGUUAGUUUCAGAUGUACAGCAAAGCGAUUCAGUUGUACAUAUACACGUAUCUAUUCUUUUUCAUGUUCUUUUCCCAAUUGGGUUAUUAUACAAAACUGAGCAGACUAUGCUACAGAAUAGGUCCUUGUUGGUUAUCUAUUUUAAAUACAGCAGUGUGGACAUGUCAAUCCCAAACCCUCAGUCUAUCCCCUACCCUAUCCUUCCCACCUGGUAACCAUAAUUUCAUUCUUUAAGUAUGUGAGUCUAUUUCUGUUCUGUAAAUAAAUUCAUUUGUAUCAUUGUCUAUUUUUUUUUU
ensembl:lncRNA